CAGGCUGUGUGCAGCUGAAGCAGGCGAGGCCUGGAGCAGGCGCCCCGGGCAGGUCGCUCCCUGCCCUGCAGUCCCGACCCGAAGGCCAGAGCCAGAGCAGCCUUGGGCGUGGGUGUGGGGCCGCCCUGGGGCGGAUCAGCCCCAGGCCGCGGAAUCCAGCCCUGCCAGGUCGGUCGCAGGUCGGCGCGGGCCCACACAAGGCCCACUUCCUCCCUCCCGCGAGGCAGGCCCUGUUAUUAUCCCUGCAUCAUCAAUGAGGAAACUGAGGCAGAAAGAUGCAGUCACUUGCUCGAGGUCACAUGCCCACCGUGUCAACCAUCACAGCUGAUGUGCAACACAUGCAUCGAGGAGUGGCCGGCACCUCCGGGGUCACGGGUCAAGAUGGUCUAUGAAGAGACAGCCGUUGGCAGAAUGGGCCAGAGAAUCCGGAAACAGCACCGACUGGCCCUGCCUGGGGGAGUUCGGCGUCUCCAAACCCUGGGCCCAGUUCACUGCCACCGAGUGGCUGCACCCCUGGGGGCAGCUACACAGAACCCCUUCCGAGUAUGCCGAGCGAUGUACGUGAGAUUGUUCAUGGUGGCCCCUUCUCUUCUCCUUGCCUGAUGUACUGGGGCCCAUCUCAAUGUCACCCAUCGAUAGAGAACUAGUUCAGGUAACUGAGGCAAUUGCCAAGUGACAAACAGACCCCUCUGUCGUGUGCUUUGAAAAGGGGCGCAAAGGGUGGACAGAAUGAGAUGGUAAAAGACAUCAUCACGCUGCCCAGGAUGCCAUGCAAUUUAAAACAUGAAUUUUCUAUUUCUGGGAUUUCACAUUUAGUAUUUUCAGACCCCAUUUGACCCCGGGUAACUGAAACUAUGGACCACAAAACCACAGAUGGGGGGGCGCAGGGGACUCCUGUACAUUGUUUCAUGAAAGGUAAAGACGCAGCAGGACAGGACGCGGGGCGCACGCCUGCGAUCCAGCACUCGGGAGGCUGAGGCAGCAGGAGCACAAGUUCCAGCCCAACCCAGGCAACAGCAACUUAGUGAGACCCUGUCUUACAAUGAAAGGCGGGGAGGGGCUGGGGACGUGCCUCAGCGUGAAGGACAUGUGUUCAAUCCCCAACACUCUUUACAAAUUUUAAGAAAGCAAACUACUAGCAUUUGUGUACAAAACAGCUGCAGCGACUACGGGAGUACGUUUGCUUCUAGAUUCGUGAGAACCCUGGGUAACCAGAGACAUCAGGGUGCCGUGGACAGGGACUUGAUGGCCAGGGACCGGGUGGGAGGUUUUCUGUGUCCGGAGGUUUGUUCCAGGGCCUCUCCAUACCAAGUCCUUUAAUGAAAUGGCUGUGUAUUUGCCCAUACGCGCACGCAUCCUCCCAUGAGGCGGAGCAACUUUGAGUCAUUUCCAGAUGACUUACAGUGCCUCAGACAAGGCAAGUGCUAAGUACUUGUUACUCAGUAUUGACACAGGAAAGCGACUGGAUGUGCUCAGAACAGACGAAAAAAAUUCGUUCAGGAUUUUCAACCACAGAUGCAGAGCCCAGGAGUGGGACGGCAGCUGUACCACCCUGCAACGCCUUUGGGGUCUUGAAUCACAGCAGCGGACUCUUUUUCUUUUCUUUGAAAAUUUUGUUAUUCUAUGUACUGACCAUUUAAAACACAUUUAAUUUUUAAUUUUAGAACUUUGCAAAUAGCCAGGCACUGUGGCACUUGUCUGUAGUCCCAGCUAUGCAGGAGGCUGAGGCAGGAGGAUAGUGAGUCUGAGGAUAGCCUGGGUGAUUUAGCAAGACACUGUCUCAAAAAUAAAUAGCUGGGGGCAGGAGAUUUAGCUCAGUGGUUCUGACACCUGCCUGGAAAGUACAAGAUCCUGCCUUCAAUUCCCGUACCAAAAAUAAAUAAGCAAACAAAUAAAUAAAUACCUAGGCGUGGUGGUGCGCACCUGUAAUCCCAGCACUCGGGAGGCUGAGGCAGGAGGAUCACUUCUCGUGUGAGACCAGCCUGGGGUAUAUAGUGAGGCUACACUUAUGCUACAUACCAAGUUCAAGACCAGCCUGGACUACACAGCAAGACCCUAUCUCAAAAACUAAUAAGUAAAUAAGGGCUGGGGAUGUAGCUCAAUGCAGGUCCUGGGUUCAACCUCUAGUACUGCAAAAAAUUAAAAUUAAAAAAGAAAAGGC
rnacentral:lncRNA from 1 species